CCAGGAAGAAGGGCAACAGAAGUAAAAACUGAUACUAAGAGGAGACGGUGAGAUUCAGGGAGGAGCUCAGACGUUACUGAACUAUAGAAGAGAUGAACUUCUACAUUCAACAGAGUUCAAUAUACGAAGCAUCAACAUCACCUUCCUUCAACAUGCUGUCACCACUGAUGUUUCUAGUUAUUCUACAAGGAUUCAGCUGUGAAGAACUCACACCAGUGGAGACAGAAGAAAACAGUGUAGAAAACACGACUGUUACUAUGUCCUACAAUUAUUCCAAACAAGCAUUUAGUAGUGAUUAUUUCUUCUGGUAUAAACAAUAUCCAGGAAAACCACCACAGUUCCUCAUCUCCCACUCUGCUACGGGGACUUUAAGUUCACAGGGAAUCCAUCGACUGAUGAUCAAAUUGGAUGGAAACCGAAUCAGUCUGACGAUCUCGCCUCCUACAGUGUCAGACUCUGCUGUGUACUACUGUGCUGUGAAGCCCACAGUGACAGGAAACACCAAGACUCUGUACAAGAACCUCAACUCUGUACUCUGUACACCAUCCACCAGAGGGAGUCUCCAACUGAAUAUCUUCAGCAGGAUGUGACGAUACCGUGUGGAUUAUUUAUAGUGGUGAUGAAACAGAAGAAAGCGACAAAAAAAGCCUGAUUGAAGGAAGUGAUGAUAAUGAGGUGUUGUGUAAUAUUUCUUAUAUGAACAACACUUCAUCAUGAAGUGGAAAUAAUAAUACUAUAAGAUUUAAGAGAGCUAAAAUUAAAUCAAAUUAGCAAUCAUUCCAACAAUGCAAACGAUAUAUAUA